rnacentral:rRNA from 1 species
ACUCCUACGGGAGGCAGCAGUGGGGAAUUUUGGACAAUGGGGGCAACCCUGAUCCAGCAAUGCCGCGUGAGUGAAGAAGGCCUUCGGGUUGUAAAGCUCUUUUGUCAGGGAAGAAACGGUGGUGGCGAAUAACUACUACUAAUGACGGUACCUGAAGAAUAAGCACCGGCUAACUACGUGCCAGCAGCCGCGGUAAUACGUAGGGUGCAAGCGUUAAUCGGAAUUACUGGGCGUAAAGCGUGCGCAGGCGGUUGUGUAAGUCAGAUGCGAAAUCCCCGGGCUCAACCUGGGAAUUGCAUUUGAGACUGCACGGCUAGAGUGUGUCAGAGGGGGGUAGAAUUCCACGUGUAGCAGUGAAAUGCGUAGAUAUGUGGAGGAAUACCGAUGGCGAAGGCAGCCCCCUGGGAUAACACUGACGCUCAUGCACGAAAGCGUGGGGAGCAAACAGGAUUAGAAACCCUUGUAGUCCCAUGAU